AACUUCGGUUAUAAGAUCCCUCAAAGAUGAUGAGGUUAAUAGGUUCGAGGUGGAAGCAUGGUGACAUGUGGAGCUGACGAAUACUAAUCGAUCGAAGACUUAAUCAA
rnacentral:rRNA from 1 species